GAUGAACGCGGGCGGCGUGCCUAAUACAUGCAAGUCGAGCGAACGGACGAGAAGCUUGCUUCUCUGAUGUUAGCGGCGGACGGGUGAGUAACACGUGGAUAACCUACCUAUAAGACUGGGAUAACUUCGGGAAACCGGAGCUAAUACCGGAUAAUAUUUUGAACCGCAUGGUUCAAAAGUGAAAGACGGUCUUGCUGUCACUUAUAGAUGGAUCCGCGCUGCAUUAGCUAGUUGGUAAGGUAACGGCUUACCAAGGCAACGAUGCAUAGCCGACCUGAGAGGGUGAUCGGCCACACUGGAACUGAGACACGGUCCAGACUCCUACGGGAGGCAGCAGUAGGGAAUCUUCCGCAAUGGGCGAAAGCCUGACGGAGCAACGCCGCGUGAGUGAUGAAGGUCUUCGGAUCGUAAAACUCUGUUAUUAGGGAAGAACAUAUGUGUAAGUAACUGUGCACAUCUUGACGGUACCUAAUCAGAAAGCCACGGCUAACUACGUG
rnacentral:rRNA from 1 species